ACAUCAUACUUUCUGGAUCUUUCAUCGUCGAGGACACGGGUGAAGCCAAACUUGCAUCGAAGGAAUUUCCACAAACAAACAUUGAUGGAAACUGCUUGACGUUUUCCUACAGCAUGCGUGGACAAUCUUCUCUUUUGGUUAAAGUUAUAGAAUAUCUUGGAAAUACCUACACAAUCUGGCGACUGAACACCGAUAGCGGCUUUUCUUCGGGCUGGGGUGAAGCAAGCGCUAAUAUUCGUUCGAAAACAAAUUUUCAACUUCUAGUUGUAGCAACGCUGUCAAACGAUCGCAGUGCCUUCGUCGCUGUUGAUGAUUUGCGGUUCAAAUUUGAGCCGUGUUCCGUUGAACCUCCAGAGGCAUCCGUUGUAC